CAAAUACUCAACAAAAAUACCUCACAAAUUCCAUUGCAAGAAAUAAAACUUAACUCUUCAACUCCAACAAAAUUCUCCAAACAAAAGCAAUCCACCUCUUCCAGCUCAUCCCUCCGAGCAUACUCAGCAACUGUAAACUAAAUUCAAGUCCUUACCAAUAGAAUUAUCUUGCGCGCCAACCUUCUUGAAUCAUCUUGUUUAUUUCCAACUUUAGUUGAGUCACCAAAAACUGCUUGAAUCACCAUGAGCACUUCCAACUCUCCCUAAGUUAUCAAAUCUGUUCAAAUCGCCAUGAACAAUAUGAUCAUCAGGAUCACAACUAACUAAAUUUAAGUUAUUAGAAGAUUCCUCAAUAUUAUUGUUUGAAUCACCAUGAACAAACCGAUCACAACCAACUCCACCUGAGUCACCGCUUAUCAAACCGUAAGCCGUAGCUGCAUCCACGGUGACCGCCAAACAUUCUAACACAUGUAAUAGAGAAUUUCUCCGCCCUCUUAACACAAAUUGGGGAUCCUUGCUAACUUUCAGAACUUCACCUCUAUCGGUAUACCUAUAUCCCUUUGAAGUAAGAGUACUCAAAGGGAUUACAUUUCUAUUUAUACUUGGAAUUUAUCGAGCCUGGCCAAAUGUCCUAACCACCCCAUCGAUCAUUAUUUCCCAUCAUCAUGGAAGCCCCAAUAACUAUUUUACAUGAAGAAAAUCAAUCUCAAUUUGGACAUAUAAAAUGUGCAAGUUGAAUCAAGAAUUCAAUCCUCGUCAGAUUUGGAGUAACCAUCAGUAAUUGUCAAAAAAUCUUCUUUCGCAAGACUGGCAUCACCAGAAUUUUUUGGUUAUCCCUCCCCUCUCACGAACAGCAGGACCCUUUUCCUGGGCCUCAUAUCCAAUGGUCAAGUGUUUCAUCUUCUCUUUAGAAUAAAUCACAUCAUAUACCUCGUCAAUAGUAAGAGUAUCUCGACUAUAGAGAAUGUUAUCUCUAAAAGUUACAUAUGAAAGCGACAAUGAACAUAACAAUAUCAACCCUAAAUCCUCUUCAUUAUAUUUAACCUUCACGGUCUCCAAGUCAACGACAAUUUCUUUGAACGCCGAUAGAUGAUCUUCCAAAUAUCUACCUUUAGUCAAGCGAUGAAAAUACAUACCACCAACGAAGCAUCAUCAAGAUCCAAUUGAGGGAAAAAUUGCUCGCAUCUUGAUCUGCCACAAAUAGAAUCUACUAUUGCGAUCCAAAAGCAGAAUCUCAAAUUUCAUAAUUGUCAUCCUUGAAACAAUCAACCUUGUUCAAACAUUUCUUUAAUAAUCAAUCUGGUCCUCCUAAGAACCCCCAAAACCUUGACUUUGAUACCACUUGUUAUGAUUCGGAUCAAACCUGAAAUCGCUUUAUUGAAAGCGGAACAGCUCUGAUACAACUUUGUUGAGAAUCCUGCCAAAUAAUUAAAGAAUGAAAAAAUAUGAACAAUAUGAAAAUAAUGGAUUACAAAGAAAACAUGAUUUACGUGGAAACCCAAUUUCGCAAAAACCACAAGCAGAAGCGAAGAAUUCACUAUAAUCAACUGUAAGUAAUUACAAAUGAUCACUUUGGACCAAUAACUAAUUGGACAAUUCCUCAAUUUUAAUAUAUGUUGUACAUCACAUAUUUAUAACCAAAGAAUCCCUAACACACUAGUAGAAUUAAUAUAUGAGGAGUUUAAUAUAAUGUGAUGUCCCAAUACAAUGAGUAAAACCAAUGAUGAAACAUUUGAGAUGAAAUAGGAGUCAAAUACUUCUCCAAUAGUAUUUCCAAUCAAAUACUCAACAAAAAUUCGGGUCACAAACCAAUUCUAAUACUUAAAAUUACAUGUCAAAAAAUUAGAUAUUGAGAUAUAACUCCAAGUCUCAAAAAGUAAUAAUAUAGUUGCUUCUAAGCUUAGCCAUGUAUGUGCAAGACAUUCCCAUCUGUAUAUGGAGAUAUUGCCGAAUGUGUGACCCUAGUUAAUUGCAUUGGUAAAACUUUCUCGAUGUACUCUCAAUAUGGUGUAACUUCUCUGGCAACAUGUGUGGAUGGAUGGAUAAAAUGUAGAUAUCGAUUGAGAUGGAAUGAAGAAGUUAUGGCUUGACAGAGAUCACAAUGAUUCAAACUAGCAAUGAUAUAUAUAUAUAUAUAUAGAUGAUAUUUGGGUUUAACGAAA
rnacentral:lncRNA from 1 species